rnacentral:misc_RNA from 1 species
UGAUUGUUUCCGUUGGUGAACCUGCUGCUGGAUCAUUACCCAAGUGAUACCAAUUCACCACCUACCUGCUGUCCAGUUGAGUCAGUGUGGGCAACACCACAUGCCUCCGUUUGUUGUUGACGGACACAUGCCCGCUAUGUUUGGGCUGGCACAUUGAUCAACAAUGUAUGGACAGCGCCCUGUGGGCACAUGAGUGUUGGGGUGUAACCGAUGUUGGUGGCCCAAUGGGUGACUCGACGAUUGCUGUUGUCGUCGGGUCGCUGCACCAACGGAGGUGGCACGCCCACAGGGCACCCUAACGGCUGUGCUGGCGUCUGUGCGUCGUUGAGCGGUUGUUGCGCCUUGCGCGGAUAUGCUGACAUGGAGUGUAGGCUGCUAUUCCAUGUCGUACGUGCCGUACCCAGCGGCAUGUCUGCGCUUGUGUGCUACGUCCGUGGCCGUGAUGAGACGACGUGUUAGGACCCGUGCCUGGCAUUGGCAUGCGGUUUAAGACUUGAUGAGUGCCUGCAGGCACCGCCAGCUUUUUCUCAUUUUUAUAAAUUUUUUAAUGCAAUUUGAUUGCCAAAAUAUUCUAGUCUUAUCGGUGGAUCACUCGGCUCGUGGAUCGAUGAAGAACGCAGCCAACUGCGAUAAUUAGUGUGAACUGCAGAAACCUUGAACACAGAACUUUCGAAUGCACAUUGCGCCAUUGGAGUGACAUCCAUUGGCACGCCUGGUUCGGGGUCGUAACCAAAAAAUGCACUGCAUGUGCGUGUUUUAUUUGCUAAGAUCACGCUUCGGCGUGUCCUUGCAUACCAUUGAAUGCUACGCUGUGUAGUGUUGGACGUGCUGGCGCGAAGAUGUGUUGUCUUUCGCGCUUUACAGACCGUAAUUUAGGCACGCCCUUCGUUCACAUGCGAUAG